rnacentral:tRNA from 1 species
UGGGGUGUCGCCAAGUGGUAAGGCAACGGACUUUGACUCCGUUAUUCGCAGGUUCGAAUCCUCCCACCCCAG